GAGUGGUGAUGGGUGUGUGUGUGGGGGCGGGGGGUGGUGACCCUGACGGCAAAGGCAAGGGCAGAGGACUAAUUUGGGAGAACUCGGUUAUACUUCAUACGCUCUCAGGCUUUGUCGACGUAAAGUUCAAGGGGUGUUUCCCGUUAGAAUUGUCCCGUCUAAUGGCCAACGGAUACUAUCUGGGUCUGGCAUAACAAUGAGUUCUGCGGGUCCUGUUUUGCAUUUAUCACGGCUCAGGGGUAGAGCACUUCCCAGCAUUCACUAAGUCCCUGGGUUCAGUCCCGAAUACCGGAAGAACAAAGCAACAGCCACAAAAUGUGACCCCUCAGGGUCACAGGCCCUUAAUCCAGUAUUUGGGAGGCAGAGGCAGGUGGUGGAUAUGUGACUUCAAGGCUAACCCGGUCUACAAGGUGAAUUCUGGCUCCUGCCUCCAGGAUCCUGCCCUGUUUGAGUUCCUGGCCUGACUUCAAUGAUGAACAGCAAUGCUGAUGUGUAAGCCAAUUAAACCCUUUCCUAACCAACUUGUGUUUCGUUGCAGCAGUAGAAUCCCUAAUUAAGACAAUGAGAUACAAGAGGGCAGGGAUUUUCUCCUGUUUACUAGUGUGGUGUGUGCUUUCUUUUUUCUUCCUCCUUCCCUAUAUCUCUCUCUCCUCCCCUCUCUUUCUUUCUUGACAUGGUCUCACUAUUUAAUAUUGGUUAGUCUAAACUUGCUAGGUAGACCAGGCUAGCCUUGAAAAUACAGAUACCCUCCUUCCUGAGCCUCCCAAGUGCUAGGGUUAAAGGGAUAUGCCAUGACAUUUGAACAGUGCCAUAUUUUCAUUGUGUAACAGUGCCAGCUACAGAGGUGCUCAAAACAUUUGUUGACAUAGUGAUUCCCGUGGAAACCCACAGAAUUCGCUGAGGAGUGGAUGAGGUGUCCACCUCACUUCCAAGCUGCUGGUGCAGCUCUGAGUGCUCUUGGUAACUAGAAGAGGCCUGGUAUCUCACAGAGCUCCUUCAUUGUGUUCUUUUUAAAUUGCCUUAGCCUCUCCUAAAACAGUCUAUUCCUCCAGAAAAAAGUCUGUGAAUUUUAUUAUAUAUAGGACCUUCUUGGUUCAAGUGAACAUAAAACCCCAUCUAAACUGGUUGGGAGGAAGAGACUAUACUGACUUACAGAAGUAGACUGGCCUCAGGCUGCAUCUGGGGUUUACCAGAUGAUGCCUGUACUCUCGGGCUUUGUUCUCAGAUAGGAUGUCGCUCAAGGAGUUCUGUUUGUAACUGUCACCUUACAAUGAAUGUUACAUUUCUAGGACCAAAGGAGUCACUCUCAACCCACAAGUUCUAGCAAACAUCCCUGGGAUCUGGGUUGAGUUGUACACGUGGUUCAGAGCUACUGUUUGUGACCCAAGGAUGGACUAAGCAAGUCAGUUUGAGCAUGGACCCCAUGCCCUCUCUCCCUCAAAGCUGGAAGGAAAUGUUCGUCCUACUGCAAAGCCUGCUCAAAGUGAUUUAGAAUAGCUCCCCCUCAGUAACACUGGAGUGCUGAUACAAAAAUAAAGGCAUGUGAUCAUUGGGCA